GACGGAAGGUGCAAGCGUUGCUCGGAAUCAUUGGGCGUAAAGGGUGCGUAGGCGGCGCGGUAAGUCGGGUGUGAAAUCUCGGAGCUUAACUCCGAAACUGCAUUCGAUACUGCCGUGCUUGAGGACUGGAGAGGAGACUGGAAUUCAUGGUGUAGCAGUGAAAUGCGUAGAGAUCAUGAGGAAGACCAGUGGCGAAGGCGGGUCUCUGGACAGUUCCUGACACUGAGACACGAAGGCCAGGGGAGCAAACGGG
rnacentral:rRNA from 1 species